rnacentral:rRNA from 1 species
UACGUAGGGGGCGAGCGUUGUCCGGAAUCGUUGGGCGUAAAGCGCGUGUAGGCGGCUCGUUAAGUCCGGUGUGAAACCUUGGGGCUCAACCCCAAGCCUGCACUGGAUACUGACGAGCUCGAGUCCGGGAGGGGAGAGCGGAAUUCCUAGUGUAGCGGUGAAAUGCGCAGAUAUUAGGAAGAACACCGGUGGCGAAGGCGGCUCUCUGGAACGGUACUGACGCUGAGACGCGAAAGCAUGGGGAGCGAACAGG